GGCUCGGUAGCUCGGUGGCUAGCGCGUCGAGCUAGCAACCCGGGGCUAGCCAGUUAGAAUCUCCGCGUCG